AACGAACGCUGGCGGCGCGCCUAAUACAUGCAAGUCGAGCGAGAAGGUGUAGCAAUACACUUGUAAAGCGGCGAACGGGUGAGGAAUACAUGGGUAAUCUACCAUCGAGUGGGGAAUAACCAACCGAAAGGUUGGCUAAUACCGCGUACGCCUCCGAGUCUUCGGGUUCGGAGGGAAAGCUGCACUGUGAGUGUAGCGCUCUUUGAUGAGCUCAUGUCCUAUCAGCUUGUUGGUAGGGUAACGGCCUACCAAGGCUUUGACGGGUAGCUGGUCUGAGAGGACGAUCAGCCACACUGGCACUGCGACACGGGCCAGACUCCUACGGGAGGCAGCAGUAAGGAAUAUUGCGCAAUGGGCGAAAGCCUGACGCAGCGACGCCGCGUGGGGGAUGAAGGUCUUCGGAUUGUAAACCCCUUUCGGGAGGGAGAUGGAGCGAGCAAUCGUUCGGACGGUACCUCCAGAAGCAGCCACGGCCAA
rnacentral:rRNA from 1 species